GCAAAAACGAUCUUUUAGGUGGGGGCUUAUUCGGGGGGGGGGGGCUUAUUCAAGCGUGGGGGCUUAUUCGAGGAUUUACGAUAAUUCUGUUUUGUUGAUUUUUAAAGAGUUUUUUCGACGGUCUUGAACUCAGGCUAGCAAAAUGACAAGGAAUGAUGGCCAAAUGAAUGACUUAGCUGUGCUGAGGUAUUGGAAAUGUUGUAGCUAAAAAAGAUGACUUUAGUAAUGUUAUUGAUGCUUUUGACUUUAGAAAACUGGUACUGUAAAGGCUUUGAAAAUCAAUGGGCAACAGUUUGAAUAAAAUAUGUCGGAGAGACUCCCUUUUAAUUGCCACGUAGCUAAUUUUUGUCUGAGUUUGUAGCACCGCAUUCAUAUCUAUUUUAUAUAAACAGAACCCCAGGCCGGCGGCUCCCGAGAAGGUUUUAGAAAAAGUGAAAAUUUUAACCACGCUACCAUGCUACAUAUAAAGGUCAUUUUAGCUUUCAAUUUUAGAACAAGGGUAUUUCCAGGAACGAAAAUAUGGCGUGGUCAAAAAAGCUUUUAUGGUCUUCGCUGCAAAUUGGGGCCCCGUGAUACAUUUUGCCCCGGGUCCGUCCCGCCUAGCAGCGACGCUAGAGAAAAUGUUUCAUAAUGAUACCAAUACAAGAUAAGCUUGGGGAGGAUGCGCCAUUAGAGCAGAUUUGUGGACUGCAAAUGUCUAACCUCGCCUUCAAGGAUGCAUUGAUCUUGUAGCAGCAGAAACCAUAUAUCAUGAAAACUGCCUUUAACGUUUCAUACUAGGCAAAGAUUUACAAAUACCAGAGAAGUCCUUAAUAGACAGAAUUGAUCUAUUUGUGAAAUUGUUCGAAGUUAGUACUCUCAUUCAUAAUUAAGAAUUUUCAAUAAUUUUGUCCACGCAAAUACCCGUUUAGCUUCAAAAUUCAGAACCUACGCCUUGAAUUCUUGCAAGCUACUCAUAUUUUACAGAAUAUCUCGGUAGUUGGUAAUAUCCAUCUGCUCGCACAAUAUUGUGCAUAUGGUCAAAAAGCUCAUGUUUUUAAAAUCUCCAUAAAUUUGAUUUCCCAAAUUUUAGAUAUGCUAUAGGGCCAGAGAAACAUGUGGAUAUUCGUUAGGUCGUCUUAAUGCUCUUGAAGACGGAUCUAGGGACGGCGAAACGUAUUUUAAAGUGGGGUAAAAUAUAUUGUGUUUGCACUAAAAAAGGCCGCCACAGGUUGGCGGCAAGAAAUAUUCUAAAUUACGAUAAACUAGAGAUGGCCAGAAACUGCGUCUAAAAUAGAAUUUGACGGGAGAAAAGCUAACGGUUCCAUAGUUUUGUAUAUUUUAAUGUUGACAUUUGAAGAAAGGAUCUUUCAGAGUUUUAGAAUUAUCUUAGCAUAACAGCGAAUAAUCAGCCUUUUUACAAAUGAAUGAAACCAAAAUAAGAUGGAGAGAAAAUAUGAAUAAAACACAGUUUGGCAAUAAAGCAUUAGCCAGUGCCACACACGCUGCCUUUGGCAAUAAAGCAUUAGCCAGUGCCACACACGCUGCCUCAUACACAUACAAUAAUAAGCAUGAACAUCAUGAACUAAAGAUUAAGUCUGGCCUUUUGGCCUGGGAUCUCAGAAAGCUGAGGAAGGGGUAAGUAAGGUCAUGGUGAGUUUAUCAACAACCUAUUUAAUUGAAUGAAAGCAGUAAAAUAGUUUGCUAAAAAAUGUUUAAAUGAUUAAAUAAAGCAUGUCCUAUUUUCGUACUCCGUUUCGGACCAAUUACUUGUCAACGGGACGCACAUUUUCAUUUACUGCAGAGGAAAUAAAUAUCAGAGCAGUCCAAAAGUAAAACCUAAUCGAAUUCAAAAUUUUCAAAGUGAAAGCCAAAAUUUUUUUUUUGAGAUAAAGCGCUCGGCGGGCCGGAUAAAAACUUUCUGCGGGUCGGAGUUGGCCCGCGGGCCGGAUUUUAUGAAUGGCUGUUACAGAGAAAUGAAUUCUAUGUAAAAUGAUGUUCGUUUUGCUUUUCUACUAAUUUUUUCGUGGUUCAUCACCUCAAUGACUACACUUAAUACGGGUUGUUUUUAGAAAAUCUAUCAAAAUUGUCAAGCUGUCGGUGGUUUCCACGCGGCAAGAUAUCCGUUUCUAAUAUGGCUUAAAUUCUAAAUUCUGAUUUUGUAUGAUUUUGUAAGUUCCUUAAAGAAUGACACGUGAGCAUGGUACGAUGUCAAAUGAUCGAAUAUGUCGUGUUAAGUUCACGUUGUGUUCAUUAUUGUCUCUCUACUGGAGAAGUGACUUAAAAAAUUUGAAGACUAGAAAACGUCAAUUUACCGAUUAGAAAGAGUUAUCAAAAAAGCUUAAAAUGACUGAUCCUUACAAAGGCCAUACAUUUUGAACUCCAAAAAAUACAUUACUUUGGUUGUCGCGUCAACGAUUGAUCUUUUUAUUGGUGAAUUCAUGCUUUACAUGGUAAUCUGCAUCAAUGGCCACCCUGUCGAUUGGACGCGGUCUCCGUCCUGGUCGCAAGAAAAAGAAAUAAUUUCUAUUUUUAAGAUGUAUCCCUGACUAUUUGGUAUAGCCCCAGAUGGCAAGAAAAAGUGGACUUGGAUUUCAUAGAACCAUUUGAUGCAUUUCAUAUUCCUCAAGCACUCAAAUCAAACACAAUCUAAACGGCCAAGGGAGCUGUCUCGCCCUAUUGUAUAAGUUUGCUGUUACUACGUAC